UUUUUUUAUAAAAGAAGGGCUUCACACCCUUCCAAUUUUCAUUAACGAAAACCAUGAUGUUCGGAGCUACAAGGAAAAAAAUAAAAAGCAUGAUGAACUGCUUCCAGCUCCAGCAAAUCCCCGAGAGGGAAAUGUUUUCAGAGCUGGAGGCAAUACUAAGACACCAAACCUACUACUACUAGCAAAAUUUGUUAUUUAAAUUCAUACAUUCAUCCAGGCUAAGGGCCUCAGAUUCCAAAAGACAAAGACCAUUGAAGGGCAAGUAGACAGAAGCGAGCAAAUCAGCCACCGUAGGGAAGAACUUUGCUUUUUCAUUCCAGCCGCGGCACAUUGAUUGUCCACCCUUGAGAGGCUGCAUAAACCUCACUUGCUACCCAUUCUAGCAGUCUUGCCCUCAGCUGCAGCACCUUUUUUGUUGCUCCUUUAUCUGCAAAAUAGAACAAUCCACCAUCCAGUGGGUCACUAGUUUGAUUAAAGUCAUAGGAUCAGAGAUUCUUUUUUUUCAAAGAUGACCCCAUUUCUAGAUUUCCAUAAAGCCCAAAAUACUGUAGCAAUCCCCACUAGCACCAUUUUCUUAUCAUUCACACUGAACAUGUCUAACCAUUCCCCUAAACAUUCUUGGACUAAUGAUGGAGUUUUUCUCACCCCAAAUGAACAUUUGAUCAAAAUCCACAUCAUAGAAGCAGCCAAACAUGUGAAAAAUAGAUGACCUACUAAUUCAUCUUUCCCACAAAACACACAGUUACUUUCCCCUUUCCACCCCCUCUUCAAUAAGGAGUCCCUAGUGAGUAUACUUUUUUUUGACUAACCAAAGAAAAACUUUAGUCUUAGCUGGGACCUUAAUCUUCAAGAAUUUUUUUGUGGGAAUCUAAUAUCAGAAGCUACUAGCCGUCUGUAGAGAGAUUUAACUAAGAAUUUUCCAUCAUCCCUAAGAGACCAUAUUAUUUCGUCCUUUCCCCCUUUCAUUUCAAUUUCCUCACAUCUACUUUUCAAGCUAUUCCAUAAUCCCAAAGUGUCCCCAUAAAGAGUCCUUCUAAUCCUAAAUCCUUGCCAACCUUUUUGGAUGGCUUCGGCCACUGUUAUGUUAUGAUCAAAGCACAGGUCAUAGAGUCUAGGACAAGCUUCCUUAAUAGUUUUAUCAUUCACCCAAAUAUCUUCCCUUAGUCUUGUAUUUGUCCCAUCCCCCAGUUUUUUCUUCAAAAAACUAUAAAAGAUUUCUUUGAUCUUCAUUAGGCUGGAUCAAAAAUGGGAAUCUCCAGGUUUUUUUGUGGCCCUGGAGAGGACCCCAUCUCCUCCAUAUUUCCUACUUAUAAUAUCCCGCCAUAGCCCCUCCUUUGUUUCCAUUUUCCAUAACCAUUUAGCCAAUAAGGAGAUAUUCAUUAAUUCCAAAAUUAUGAUUCCUAAACCACCCACCUCCUUAGGUAAACAGCAAGUCUCCCAAUUCACUAAGUGAUAUUUCUUACUAUCAUCAUCUUCUUGGUACACUAACCUAUCCCUGUAGAAGUCUAUUUUUUAAUCACCCCCUUAGGAAUAGGGUAAAAGGACAUCAUAAAGAGAGGUAUAUUAGUGAGGCAAGCCCGAACUAAACUAAUUCUCCCUACAAUAGAUCCCAACAAUUUUCCCUGCCAACACCCACACCUUUUAUCAACUUUCUCAGUCACACAAUUCCACUAAACAUUUUUUAGUCUAGAAUCAGAAACUGGCAUUCCUAAAUAUUUUAUACGUAUCACACCCAUCUUACAUGUCAAUAUCUCUUGAUAUAAAUCUUGUUUCUAUUUAGCCAUCCCAAAUAGCAUGAGUUCACUUUUGUGAAAACUAAUUUUAAGACCAGACAUUUGUUCAAACGCUCCUAGGAUAAAUUUCAAGUUUUGCACACUUUCUACAUCAUCCUUGAUUAGGAAGAAUGUGUCAUCUGCAUAUUGCAACAUGUUGACCCCUUUAUUAUUUUCAUCUCCCAGGACUCCCUUAGCCAAAUCAUUGUUCAUCAAUAUAGCCAAAGCAUCAGCAGCUAAAUCAAAUAGCAGGGAGACAUAGCAUCUCCCUGUCUAAGUCCUUUAUGGGUUCUAAAAUAUGGUCCAAUUUCAUCAUUAACUUUCACCCCAACAUGCCCCCUUCUCAUAGUUUCCAUAAUCCAAUCACACCAUUUAUCACGAAAACAUUUGGCUCUUAGCAUCUGUAUCACAAAGGGUCAUUUAAUUUUGUCAUAUGCCUUUUCAAAAUCCACUUUAAAAAUUAGUGCACCUUGCUUCCUAGUGUGAAAAGUGUUCAAAGCUUCAUGAAGGAUCACCACUCCUUCCACAAUAUAUCUCCCUUUGAUAAUGGUUGUUUGAGUUUUAGAUAUGACACGGGAAACACAUUGUGUUAAUCUAUUCAUCAAUAUUUUUGUGAUAAUUUUGAAACUAACAUUCAACAGACAUAUUGGUCUAAAUUUCUGAAUUUGCUUAGCAUCCUCGGUUUUAGGAACUAAUGUAAUUAUGCCAUAGUUUAGCCUAGCAAUAUUAAUUUUCCCUUUGGCAAAUUCUUCUACCAAGGUUUUAAGGUCCCAUUUAACCAGAUCCCAAAACUCCUGGUAAAAAUCAGUAGGGAAUCCAUCUGGUCCAUGACUUCUAUUUUUCUUCAUCCCAAAAACCAAAAUUUUGAUUUCAUCUAAAGAAAAUGGUGUCAUCAACCUCUCUCUCUCCUCCUCACUUUUUUUAUUCCAGAUUUCUCAUCGAAAUCUGUGUUUCUUUAGGGUGUACAAAUAACUUUUUAUAAAAGUCUGUUAUAUAUUCCAUCACAUUUUCACCCCCUUUCAUCGCCCCUUCUUCUUGGUCUAGAGAAAUAAUUAUAUUUUUCCUUCUCCUCCCAUUUACUUUUGCAUGAUAGUAUCUAGUAUUUCCAUCUCCAUCUAUAAUUUCCUUGUCUUUAUAUCUCUGAAGCAUUUUAAUAUCUUCAUGAACCAUCACUCGUUUUAGCUGAUCUCUUAAUUCUUUUUGUUUUGUUCUAUCAGCAGCAGUUAUUCCCAUAAUCUCAAUUUUAUUUAUCUAUCUCAUCUAGCCUCUUAAUAAUAUCUAUUUUGAUUUUUCUAUACCAAGCAUCCACAUUUCUAUUCCGUCCCUUAGUUUUCUUUCUCAAUUUUCUUAGUCUAAGCUGCCACCUUUCCAAAAUGUUUCCAUGGUAUCUUUCAUUCCAUGUUCUGUAUACAAAAUCUUUAAAUCCCUCCCUCAAAGCCCAAGCAUUUUCAUAUCUGAAAUUGUAUUUAUCAUUCUGCCCCUCCCUUGUGUUUAGGAAUGAUGGGGUGUGAUCUGACACUUCUCUAGCAAAUGCUUGUAAUAUGGUUAGAGGAUAUUUUUCCUCCCAAGCUGGACACAUCAGCACCCUAUCUAGUUUUUCAUAGGCGGGGUCAGCCAAAUUAUUGGCCCAUGUAAACUAUCUCCCAUUCAGGGGUAGCUCUCUCAGUCCAUCUUGUUCAAUGAUAGCAUUAAACAUAAAAGUCCAUUGCUCAUUAUGGACAGGUUUAUUUUUUUCCUUUUCAUUCCUGAUAAUAUUGAAAUCUCACCCCCCCUCCCCCCAAACAAGCAAGGUAAAGGGUUGUCAUGAUAUAAUCUGGCUAAUUCUGCUAAAAACAAGCUUUUCCUUCCAAUUGAGCUUCACCAUAUACAAUGAUUAAAUUCCAUUGCAUCUUGAUGAUUUUAUCAUAUACCAGCAUCCUGAGAAAAUAGAUCCCUUUCUCUAUAUGUUCUACGUUGAACCUAUCUUUACUUACUCCCAUUAAAAUCCCUCCAGACAUCCCUCUGGGAUCAUUCCAGCACCAAUCAUAAUUCCUCCCCCACAUAGGUUAUGUAAUUCACUUUUAGAGAAUUUUUGUUUAAUAGUUCCUGAAAUCCCUAUAAAAUCCAGUCUAUGAUCAUUAAUCAUUUCCCUCACAUAUCUCCUUUUAUGGUCUUGCCCCAACCCUCUAACAUUCUUAGAACAUUCCUCUCAUUUUUUUCCUUUCUAUAUUGUUAUCAAUCCCUAAACAAUCUAAUUUCCUAGAAGCAAAUUUACACUUAUUUCUUAUUCUUUUUUCUUCUCACGACUCCAAUCCCCACUGAUUGCUUCACACAACUUAAUGUUAGUGAACAUUUUUUAUUAUUUUCUUCCCUGAGCAAAUAGCUCUCUAUUUCAGAUAUUGCUGCUCUUCCAUUUCAGCAUCAGAAUGUUCCAUGUCUGAGCAAAGUUCCUCCAGAUCAACAUCUUCAGUGUCAAUAUGCACUGGUGUGUUAUGCUCUUUACUACCCAUGCCACUAUCUUUCUCUUUUUUUCCUCUCCUCUGCAAUGCUUUGAAAAUAGAUUUCUCUCCUUGCCAUCUCCAUUUUCCUAAUGGUUUCUAAAUUUUUGUCUACCAUGUCAAUGGAGCAACCUAAAUCAAUUUCUACUAGAGAACUAAUAUGCAACAAAAAAGAGUUAGCACAAUUUAAAUCAGACCCCUUACCAUAAUUAUCUCUUUCCCCAUCCCUCAUUUUGGCCAUUUCCUCCACUUUUUGUUCUUCCUUUCCCCUGUUUCUCAAGCUUCUGUUCAAUUCAGUUUCUUUAUCUUCCUCACCUUUGUCCAGUACCCCACUCCAUGUAUCUCAGCCAUUUUUCACCAAAAGUCCCCACUGAUUCCUGACUUGCAUUGUAAUCAGUAGGUUCAGUAUUUUUUCUAGAUCCAGUCUCUUCUUUCUUUUCCUGGUUUUCUUUCUCAAAGUCUUCAACUUCUAGAUUGGUCAGCUCCAUCUCAUAUUGCUCUCUAUUUGCUGCCUCCUAUUCCAAUCUCAGGAUCUCCCCUUGUUGUUGCUCAACCAAGUUUUCUAGUUUCUUUGUGUGAUCUCCAAGUCUUUUAUUCUCUUAUCAGCUUUGGUCCAUAAAGCAUUUUGUCUGGCUUUUUCUUCCUCCAGCCCUUGGAUUUUUACGAACAUAAUAUCUAUCUCUUUUUGCAUUUUCCCUCUUUCUUCAGCCAUUUCUUUACACAAGUGUCCCAUGUUUUCCUCCAAAGAGAUCUUCAUCAUUUCAUUCUUCCUGUGUAUCUCUUCUAUUUGUUUUUGAGAUAAGUUGCUAGUGUCAUUCCUUUUCUGUCUGUCCCAUCUAACUUUGUACUUUUCCUUUUUCCUCCUCAUCUUCUCCAUCCUCUAGCUUAGUAACAACAUCAAAUUUCCUUUUCGCUUCCUUGUACCACCCCAUCUCAGGC
rnacentral:lncRNA from 1 species